UACGUAGGUGGCAAGCGUUGUCCGGAUUUACUGGGCGUAAAGAGCGCGCAGGCGGUCGUUCAAGUCGCGUGUGAAAGCCCCCGGCUCAACUGGGGAGGGUCACGCGAUACUGAUCGACUGGAAGGCAGGAGAGGGUAGUGGAAUUCCCGGUGUAGCGGUGAAAUGCGUAGAUAUCGGGAGGAACAUCAGUGGCGAAGGCGGCUACCUGGCCCAAUACUGACACUCAGGUGCGACAGCGGUGGGGAGCAAACAGGG
rnacentral:rRNA from 1 species